CAAACCGGGAGAUAGCUGGUUCUCCCCGAAAGCUAUUUAGGUAGCGCCUCGUGAAUUCAUCUCCGGGGGUAGAGCACUGUUUCGGCUAGGGGGCCAUCCCGGCUUACCAACCCGAUGCAAACUGCGAAUACCGGAGAAUGUUAUCACGGGAGACACACGGCGGGUGCUAACGUCCGUCGUGAAGAGGGAAACAACCCAGACCGCCAGCUAAGGUCCCAAAGUCAUGGUUAAGUGGGAAACGAUGUGGGAAGGCCCAGACAGCCAGGAUGUUGGCUUAGAAGCAGCCAUCAUUUAAAGAAAGCGUAAUAGCUCACUGGUCGAGUCGGCCUGCGCGGAAGAUGUAACGGGGCUAAACCAU
rnacentral:rRNA from 1 species